GAUGAACGCUGGCGGCGUGCCUAAUACAUGCAAGUCGAACGAGUUCUCGUUGAUGAUCGGUGCUUGCACUGAGAUUCAACAUGGAACGAGUGGCGGACGGGUGAGUAACACGUGGGUAACCUGCCCUUAAGUGGGGGAUAACAUUUGGAAACAGAUGCUAAUACCGCAUAGAUCCAAGAACCGCAUGGUUCUUGGCUGAAAGAUGGCGUAAGCUAUCGCUUUUGGAUGGACCCGCGGCGUAUUAGCUAGUUGGUGAGGUAAUGGCUCACCAAGGCGAUGAUACGUAGCCGAACUGAGAGGUUGAUCGGCCACAUUGGGACUGAGACACGGCCCAAACUCCUACGGGAGGCAGCAGUAGGGAAUCUUCCACAAUGGACGCAAGUCUGAUGGUGCAACGCCGCGUGAGUGAAGAAGGCUUUCGGGUCGUAAAACUCUGUUGUUGGAGAAGAAUGGUCGGCAGAGUAACUGUUGUCGGCGUGACGGUAUCCAACCAGAAAGCCACGGCUAACUACGUGCCAGCAGCCGCGGUAAUACGUAGGUGGCAAGCGUUAUCCGGAUUUAUUGGGCGUAAAGCGAGCGCAGGCGGUUUUUUAAGUCUGACGUGAAAGCCCUCGGCUUAACCGAGGAAGCGCAUCGGAAACUGGGAAACUUGAGUGCAGAAGAGGACAGUGGAACUCCAUGUGUAGCGGUGAAAUGCGUAGAUAUAUGGAAGAACACCAGUGGCGAAGGCGGCUGUCUGGUCUGUAACUGACGCUGAGGCUCGAAAGCAUGGGUAGCGAACAGGAUUAGAUACCCUGGUAGUCCAUGCCGUAAACGAUGAAUGCUAGGUGUUGGAGGGUUUCCGCCCUUCAGUGCCGCAGCUAACGCAUUAAGCAUUCCGCCUGGGGAGUACGACCGCAAGGUUGAAACUCAAAGGAAUUGACGGGGGCCCGCACAAGCGGUGGAGCAUGUGGUUUAAUUCGAAGCAACGCGAAGAACCUUACCAGGUCUUGACAUCUUUUGAUCACCUGAGAGAUCAGGUUUCCCCUUCGGGGGCAAAAUGACAGGUGGUGCAUGGUUGUCGUCAGCUCGUGUCGUGAGAUGUUGGGUUAAGUCCCGCAACGAGCGCAACCCUUAUGACUAGUUGCCAGCAUUUAGUUGGGCACUCUAGUAAGACUGCCGGUGACAAACCGGAGGAAGGUGGGGAAGACGUCAAAUCAUCAUGCCCCUUAUGACCUGGGCUACACACGUGCUACAAUGGAUGGUACAACGAGUCGCGAGACCGCGAGGUCAAGCUAAUCUCUUAAAGCCAUUCUCAGUUCGGACUGUAGGCUGCAACUCGCCUACACGAAGUCGGAAUCGCUAGUAAUCGCGGAUCAGCACGCCGCGGUGAAUACGUUCCCGGGCCUUGUACACACCGCCCGUCACACCAUGAGAGUUUGUAACACCCGAAGCCGGUGGCGUAACCCUUUUAGGGAGCGAGCCGUCUAAGGUGGGACAAAUGAUUAGGGUG
rnacentral:rRNA from 1 species